AACGUAGGAACCGAGCGUUAUCCGGAUUCACUGGGCGUAAAGCGCCUGCAGGCGGUCUUGUAAGUUGGACGUGAAAUUUCCUGGCUCAACUGGGAGGGGCCGUUCAAUACUGCAAGGCUUGAGGGCAGAAGAGGGAAGUGGAAUUCCCGGUGUAGUGGUGAAAUGCGUAGAUAUCGGGAGGAACACCAGUGGCGAAGGCGGCUUCCUGGUCUGUACCUGACGCUAAGAGGCGAAAGCUAGGGGAG
rnacentral:rRNA from 1 species